rnacentral:rRNA from 1 species
UACAGAGGGGGCAAGCGUUGUUCGGAAUUACUGGGCGUAAAGGGCGCGUAGGCGGCCUGUUAAGUCGAACGUGAAAUCCCCGGGCUCAACCCGGGAACUGCGUCCGAUACUGGCAGGCUUGAAUCCGGGAGAGGGAUGCGGAAUUCCAGGUGAGCGGUGAAAUGCGUAGAUAUCGUGGAGAACACCCGUGGCGAAGGCGGGCUUCUGGCGUAAUGACUGACGCUGAGGUGCGAAAGCUAGGGGAGCGA